rnacentral:misc_RNA from 1 species
GAAAUGCGAUAAGUAAUGUGAAUUGCAGAAUUCAGUGAAUCAUCGAAUCUUUGAACGCAGCUUGCGCUCCUUGGUAUUCCUUGGAGCAUGCCUGUUUGAGUAUCAUGAAAUCUUCAAAGUAAAUCUUUUGUUAACUCAAUUGGUUUCUACUUUGGUAUUGGAGGUCUUUGCAGCUUCACACCUGCUCCUCUUUGUUCAUUAGCUGGAUCUCAGUGUUAUGCUUGGUUCCACUCGGCGUGAUAAGUUAUCUAUCGCUGAGGACACUGUAAAAGGUGGCCAGGGUAAAUGCAGAUGAACCGCUUCUAAUAGUCCAUUGACUUGGACAAUACUUUUAUGAUCUGAUCUCAAAUCAGGUAGGACUACCCGCUGAACUUAAGC